rnacentral:lncRNA from 1 species
CUUCAUCUCUACCCCAGCACCUUGCCUGGCAUCUGGCACACAGUAGGUGCUCAACUACACGCUUGUUGAGCCACGAGUGAAGCAAUGCACACAGGAAAUGAUCAAAAAACAACAACAAAGAAAUAUAUCGCUAAGAGCAUCUUUGCCGGAGAAAAUGAAAGCGAUUCCCGGUUCUUGGCAGUCGAGAGUAGUGUUUUUGUGGCCCUUCCCUGGUUGAUUUUCUAGUUUGUUCUGGAAGCCUGGACCCAAGGAGAAGCUUCUCCCUGGCAGCAGUACCGCCUUCUUCCAGAAGAUGGCGGGCGAGGCCUGCAGCACAGCGUCGCGGGGCAGCCCGCUGGGCCCGUCGGCGCAGGUGAGCCCUUUUCAUAAAGGACGCGGGAAACUGGGGCCUGUUUACCAGCGCUAUAAAUGCACGUGGAAGAGAAGAACUGGCCUUCGAGGUACAGCUGCUAGCUGAUCUCUUGUGAAAAGGAGCCUUUUGGAAAGGGCGCUUAAAGGGAAAACGUGGCCACAGGUCCUGAAGGGGCUGCUUCUCAUGGACCCCCUUUGAGUAGUGUCUCUUGAAUAGCCGUGGAAAAUGAACUUAAUAUAAAGCAGACACAGCCCUCAAGCGCUCCCUGACUCGAGACAGCAUCCCUUCUGCCUCUUGAAGCUCGUUGGCUUUGGAAAUCACCCGCGGCUCUGUGGCCACCUCCCCUGUUGGCUGAAGCUUGCCUCGCGGCACGUCCCUCUUUGCGCAGGUCUGCACGCUCCGCAGAGGUAACUGAGGACUUUCCGAGUCCAGCUGACUGGAAAGAGGCGAUGGCCUAACAAAACGGCCUGGGGAAUUUCCAGCACGAUGGGAAUUUGCCAAAUAGCUCUUCUGUAGGGCUGACGAGGCCUACUAAUGUUUGCUCCUCAAAGUCAGCCAUAAUUACGAAGGUGUAUGCCCCCCAAAAUUGAAAACAGAGGCUCAAACGAAAACUUGUUCGCCUAUGUUCAUAGCACCACUACUCGCAAUAGCCUGAAGGUGGAAACAACUCAGAUGUCCAUUAAUGGAUGAAUGGAUAAACAAAAUGUGGAACGUUAUUCGGCAACAGGAAGGAAAGAAAUUGAUACAGGCUACAACAUGCAUGAACCUUGAACCUUCACUAUACUAAAUAAAAGAAGCCAGAAACAAAGUCA